rnacentral:rRNA from 1 species
AGUGAACGCUGGCGGUAGGCCUAACACAUGCAAGUCGAACGGCAGCACAGUAAGAGCUUGCUCUUACGGGUGGCGAGUGGCGGACGGGUGAGGAAUACAUCGGAAUCUACUUUUUCGUGGGGGGAUAACGUAGGGAAACUUACGCUAAUACCGCAUACGACCUACGGGUGAAAGCAGGGGAUCUUCGGACCUUGCGCGAUUGAAUGAGCCGAUGUCGGAUUAGCUAGUUGGCGGGGUAAAGGCCCACCAAGGCGACGAUCCGUAGCUGGUCUGAGAGGAUGAUCAGCCACACUGGAACUGAGACACGGUCCAGACUCCUACGGGAGGCAGCAGUGGGGAAUAUUGGACAAUGGGCGCAAGCCUGAUCCAGCCAUACCGCGUGGGUGAAGAGGGCCUUCGGGUUGUAAAGCCCUUUUGUUGGGAAAGAAAAGCAGCAGGUUAAUACCCCGCUGUUCUGACGGUACCCAAAGAAUAAGCACCGGCUAACUUCGUG